rnacentral:rRNA from 1 species
GACGAACGCUGGCGGCGUGCUUAACACAUGCAAGUCGAACGGAAGGGGGCUGCUUUUUCGGGGUGUUCGAGUGGGGCACGGGUGUGUAACACAUGAGUAACCUUGCCUGGACUGUGUGAUAUCUUCAGGAAACUGGGGCUAACACCGGAUAGGAGCUCCUGCUGCAUGGUGGGGGUUGGUCCUCAUCGGCGGUAGGGGAUGGACUGGCGGCUUACGAGCUUGUUGGUGGGGUAGCGGCUUACCAACGCAGUGAUGGGUAGCCGGCCUGAGAGGGGGAUCGGCCACAUUACGACUAAGAUACGGCGCAGACUCCUACGGGAGGCAGCGGUGGGAAAGAUUGCACAAUCGGCCGAAGCCUGAUGCAGCAGCGCCGCGUGCGGGAUGCCGUCCGACUGGGUGUAAACCGCUUUCGCCUGAUACGAAGCGUGAGUGACGGUAAUGGGUAAAGAAGCACCGGCUAACUACGUG